GACGAACGCUGGCGGCGUGCUUAACACAUGCAAGUCGAACGGAAAGGCCCUACUUUUGUGGGGUGCUCGAGUGGCGAACGGGUGAGUAACACGUGAGUAACCUGCCCUUGACUUUGGGAUAACUUCAGGAAACUGGGGCUAAUACCGGAUAGGAGCUCCUGCUGCAUGGUGGGGGUUGGAAAGUUUCGGCGGUUGGGGAUGGACUCGCGGCUUAUCAGCUUGUUGGUGGGGUAGUGGCUUACCAAGGCUUUGACGGGUAGCCGGCCUGAGAGGGUGACCGGCCACAUUGGGACUGAGAUACGGCCCAGACUCCUACGGGAGGCAGCAGUGGGGAAUAUUGCACAAUGGGCGGAAGCCUGAUGCAGCAACGCCGCGUGCGGGAUGACGGCCUUCGGGUUGUAAACCGCUUUCGCCUGUGACGAAGCGUGAGUGACGGUAAUGGGAAAAGAAGCACCGGCUAACUACGUG
rnacentral:rRNA from 1 species